GUAGGUGGCAAGCGUUGUCCGGAAUUAUUGGGCGUAAAGCGCGCGCAGGUGGUUCUUUAAGUCUGAUGUGAAAGCCCCCGGCUCAACCGGGGAGGGUCAUUGGAAACUGGGGAGCUUGAGUGCAGGAGAGGAAAGUGGAAUUCCACGUGUAGCGGUGAAAUGCGUAGAUAUGUGGAGGAACACCAGUGGCGAAGGCGACUUUCUGGCCUGUAACUGACACUGAGGCGCGAAAGCGUGGGGAGCAAACAGGGAUUAGAUACCCUGGUAGUCCACGCCGUAAACGAUGAGUGCUAAGUGUUGGGGGGGUUUCCGCCCCCUCAGUGCCGCAGCUAACGCAUUAAGCACUCCGCCUGGGGAGUACGGUCGCAAGACUG
rnacentral:rRNA from 1 species